ACGAACGCUGGCGGCGUGCUUAACACAUGCCAGUCGAACGGAAAGGCCUGCUUUCCCUUGUGGAUUGCGGGUGCUCGAGUGGCGAACGGGUGAGUAACACGUGAGUGAUCUGCCCCCAACUUGGGUAUAAGCCUGGGAAACUGGGUCUAAUUCCCGAUAGGACUGCAGGGUGGUGCCUGUGGUGGAAAACGAUUUUCUAGUGGUUGGGGAUGAGCUCGCGGCCUAUCAGCUUGUUGGUGGGGUAAUGGCCUGCCAAGGCGGCGACGGGUAGCCGGCCUGAGAGGGUGGACGGCCACAUUGGGACUGAGAUACGGCCCAGACUCCUACGGGAGGCAGCAGUGGGGAAUAUUGCACAAUGGGCGGAAGCCUGAUGCAGCGACGCCGCGUGGGGGAUGACGGCCUUCGGGUUGUAAACUCCUUUCGACCGCGAGGAAGCCACCUGGUUGGAAGGGUGGUGACGGUAGUGGUAGAAGAAGCACCGGCUAACUACGUG
rnacentral:rRNA from 1 species